GAUGAACGCUGGCGGCGUGCCUAAUACAUGCAAGUCGAGCGAACAGACGAGGAGCUUGCUCCUCUGAUGUUAGCGGCGGACGGGUGAGUAACACGUGGAUAACCUACCUAUAAGACUGGGAUAACUUCGGGAAACCGGAGCUAAUACCGGAUAACAUGUUGAACCGCAUGGUUCAACAGUGAAAGACGGUCUUGCUGUCACUUAUAGAUGGAUCCGCGCCGCAUUAGCUAGUUGGUAAGGUAACGGCUUACCAAGGCAACGAUGCGUAGCCGACCUGAGAGGGUGAUCGGCCACACUGGAACUGAGACACGGUCCAGAGUCCUACGGGAGGCAGCAGUAGGGAAUCUGCGGCAAUGGGCGAAAGCCUGACGGAGCAACGCCGCGUGAGUUAAGAAGGUCUUCGGAUCGUAAAACUCUGUUAUUAGGGAAGAACAAAUGUGUAAGUAACUAUGCACGUCUUGACGGUACCUAAUCAGAAAGCCACGGCUAACUACGUG
rnacentral:rRNA from 1 species